GUGCAAGCGCUGCUACCCUGUGAAGCUGCAUAAGCAUUUUCAGCUCCCAAGCAAAUAAUACAAAUCGUGUUCUCAUCUGAGGCUGGGAGUUGUUUUUCCACACUGUUGACAUGGGUGGAAUGACAUCCUGUGUACAGCCCUGCAUCAGUGUGCAAAUAAUGAAUUUUCACAUAAGAGAAGUGUGUUCCAAGAAAAAGGUAACAAAAAAGCUUUUCGUUUCGGUGUAUGCUUUGAUUGCUUCAGUUUCGGCUUUGGAGAAAUGUUGACUUACUGUUGGCUCCGACCUGUCGUGCUUCGGGGUCAAGACUCCCAUAUAAAUAUGUAUCAAGAUCCGGGAUCAAAACUCCUGCCUAUAUGAAGCUACCUGACUGGCACGAUCAAGCAUGGACAAUCAGUCUCGGCGUUGGUGGACUCUGUCAUGCGAGGACCGGUGGUCUACUGCACCACUGAGCUCCGGGAUCAUAGCAAAACUCCAAGCGAGGGAGUGGUAAUGCUGGAUCAAAGGGCUGGGACUGGCACAACACCAUGGGUCAACAAGCGCCAACAACAGCGUGGAGUCUAUUGGGGGGACUAUGUUUCAUGAAGCCAUUAGAAGACUGUUGCUCACUGAGAGGAGUUGUGUCAAGUUGGCUGGAUGUCCUUUGGGUGGUGGACCAUUCUUAAAUGGGAAACUGUUGAGUGUGAAAAGCCCAGCAGUGUUGCAGUUCUUGACACAAACCACUGCGCCUGACGCCUACUACCAUACCCCAUUCAAAGGCACUUGAAUCAUUUUUCUUUCCCAUUCACCCUCUGAAUGGCAUACAUACACAAUCCAUGUCUCAAGGCUUAAAAUCCUUAUUUUACCUGUCUCCUCCCCUUCAUCUACACUCAUUUAAGUGGAUUUAACAGGUUACAUCAAUAAGGGAUCAUAGCUUAGAAAGAGCAGGUGUCCUUAAUGUUUUGUAUACUCAGUGUAUGUCUGCAUAGCAUUUUGCCUUCAUUUGGCAGAUUAACUGAUGCUUAUUUCUGAAGAUGAACUGUUUUUUCUCCUUUUUCUCCUCUGGAACCAG
rnacentral:lncRNA from 1 species